AACGAUAUUUGAUUUUUCUUCCAACAGAGGAUGUACUCGGUAAAGAUGCUGGAGAAUGUACAAUAUGUCUGGAGGAUCUACAACAAGGGGACACAAUAGCCAGAUUACCUUGCCUAUGUAUAUAUCACAAAGGCUGCAUAGAUGAAUGGUUUGAAGUAAACAGGUCUUGUCCGGAGCAUCCAUCAGACUAGAGCUUGAAUGACUCAUAUGAUAGCUUUAUUUCCCUGCUUGUAUGAACCGAGUGACCUGAGGAGCGGACAUCUACAGAGGCUAUCGUGAGGAGAGGCUUGUGAAGGCCUCACCGCCUUAGACCUUUGUGAUAUUGGGACUCUAAAUUCGGCAAAUAUGAAUGAAGACAAUUUCCUCAGACUUCUGUGUGCCAAACAUUCUCCAGAAGGACACACACAGGGAUUUCCAAAAUGCUGCACAAAACAUAAAAACAAAAAAAAAAAAACACGUUUGUGCCCUGCCAUUCCUGAUGAUGAACAUUACGUAACAUAGGCCAAAGUCAACCUGUCUCCGCAUUCAUUUUCUAACAUGCUUCUAGCCAGGAGCCAAUAAAACGUUUUCCUAAGAAGAUUCAUCCAUAGGAUCUUGAACUAGGCUGGGAUGAGGACAUCUCUAAGAAAUAUUUUCUUUUUCUUUUAAUCUUGAUAUAUAUAUAUUUUUUUCUUUUUAGAUGCCAAAUUGAAAUCAAAACAGUUUAUGGUUUUACGGUACAGAUCCAGUUUUUGUACUUCGGAAAAAAGAAAAUGUGAAAUUGUACAAGUGUUUUCUGCUUCAGUAGUGUAGAAGUUCCCACAUCUACCAUUACCUGGUGUCCGUUCAGUGUGUGCAUACAUGAACAGCCACCGAAUGCCUCAACAGAACAUAUCUUUUUUAUGAUUAACCCUUUCAUCUCAGAGCACCUUUUCUGGGAACCUUAGCCUGUGACUGAGCGGUGAUGUCAGGAUUUGACUUGUAAAAAUAUAUAUGUAUUUUUUUUUCACAGUCAGGGAACAUAAGCCAUUAAAGUGCCAUUAAACAUGAA